rnacentral:rRNA from 1 species
UGAGGAAUAUUGGUCAAUGGGCGGAAGCCUGAACCAGCCAAGUAGCGUGCAGGAUGACGGCCCUACGGGUUGUAAACUGCUUUUAGGCGGGGGUAAAGUGCCGGACGUGUUCCGGUAUUGCAAGUACCGCCAGAAAAAGGACCGGCUAAUUCCGUGCCAGCAGCCGCGGUAAUACGGAAGGUCCGGGCGUUAUCCGGAUUUAUUGGGUUUAAAGGGAGCGUAGGCGGGCUGUUAAGUCAGCUGUGAAAUCCGGCGGCUCAACCGUCGGCCUGCAGUUGAUACUGGUGGCCUUGAGUGCGCGCAGGGGUGUUGGAAUUCAUGGUGUAGCGGUGAAAUGCUCAGAUAUCAUGAAGAACUCCGAUCGCGAAGGCAGAUGCCCGGAGCGCAACUGACGCUGAGGCUCGAAAGUGCGGGUAUCAAACAGG